rnacentral:rRNA from 1 species
AUUGAACGCUGGCGGCAGGACUAACACAUGCAAGUCGAACGAGUGGCGGACGGGUGAGUAAUGUCUGGGAAACUGCCUGAUGGAGAGGGAUAACUACUGGAACCGGUAGCUAAUACCGCAUACCAUCCGAUGUGUCCCGAUGGGAUUAGCUAGUGGGUUGGGUAACGGCUCACCAAGGCGACGCUCCCUAGCUGGUCUUAGAGGAUGACCAGCCACACUGGAACCGAGACACGGUCCAGACUCCUACGGGAGGCAGAAGUGGGUAAUAGUGCACAAUGGGCGCAAGCCUGAUGCAGCCAUGCCGCGUGUAUGAAGAAGGCCUUCGGGUUGUAAAGUACUUUCAGCGGGGAGGCGUUACCCGCAGAAGAAGCACCGGCUAACUCCGUGCCAGCAGCCGCGGUAAUAC